UUUGAACGCUGGCGGCAGGCCUAACACAUGCAAGUCGAGCGGAUGAAGGGAGCUUGCUCCUGGAUUCAGCGGCGGACGGGUGAGUAAUGCCUAGGAAUCUGCCUGGUAGUGGGGGAUAACGUCCGGAAACGGGCGCUAAUACCGCAUACGUCCUGAGGGAGAAAGUGGGGGAUCUUCGGACCUCACGCUAUCAGAUGAGCCUAGGUCGGAUUAGCUAGUUGGUGGGGUAAAGGCCUACCAAGGCGACGAUCCGUAACUGGUCUGAGAGGAUGAUCAGUCACACUGGAACUGAGACACGGUCCAGACUCCUACGGGAGGCAGCAGUGGGGAAUAUUGGACAAUGGGCGAAAGCCUGAUCCAGCCAUGCCGCGUGUGUGAAGAGGGUCUUCGGAUUGUAAAGCACUUUAAGUUGGGAGGAAGGGCAGUAAGUUAAUACCUUGCUGUUUUGACGUUACCAACAGAAUAAGCACCGGCUAACUUCGUG
rnacentral:rRNA from 1 species